GACGAACGCUGGCGGCGUGCUUAACACAUGCAAGUCGAACGGAAAGGCCCUGCUUUUGUGGGGUGCCCGAGUGGCGAACGGGUGAGUAACACGUGAGUAACCUGCCCUUGACUUUGGGAUAACUUCAGGAAACUGGGGCUAAUACCGGAUAGGAGCUCCUGCUGCAUGGUGGGGGUUGGAAAGUUUCGGCGGUUGGGGAUGGACUCGCGGAUUAUCAGCUUGUUGGUGGGGUAGUGGCUUACCAAGGCUUUGACGGGUAGCCGGCCUGAGAGGGUGACCGGCCACAAUGGGACUGAGGGACGGCCCAGACUCCUACGGGGGGCAGCAGGGGGGAGUAUUGCACAAUGGGCGGAAGCCUGAUGCAGCAACGCCGCGUGCGGGAUGACGGCCUUCGGGUUGUAAACCGCUUUCGCCUGUGACGAAGCGUGAGUGACGGUAAUGGGUAAAGAAGCACCGGCUAACUACGUG
rnacentral:rRNA from 1 species